rnacentral:ncRNA from 1 species
AUCUUAAUUCGUUUUGGGAGUAGUAGCCUGGAGUUUGUUUUACAGCGACCGUAGGGAUGGUGUGACUACGGAAACAACCUUGGUGAACUGGCCUAAAAAUCGUCACCCGCUGAAAAAAGUCAGUAGGCGCGUGCGUGUGGUCGCGUUAAGACUUUGAGCGCUACAAUAUUGUAGAAUUACGGGUGGUACCGCGGAGAAGUUCGUCCUGUCG